rnacentral:rRNA from 1 species
AUGGAACAAUGUAGGCAAGGGAAGUCGGCAAAACGGAUCCGUAACUUCGGGAAAAGGAUUGGCUCUGACGACUGGGCUCGGGGGUCCCGGCCCCGAACCCGUCGGCUGUCGGCGGAUUGCUCGAGCUGCUCACGCGGCGAGAGCGGGUCGCCGCGUGCCGGCCGGGGGACGGACCGGGAAUCGCCCCUUCGGGGGCUUUCCCCGAGCAUGAAACAGUCGACUCAGAACUGGUACGGACAAGGGGAAUCCGACUGUUUAAUUAAAACAAAGCAUUGCGAUGGUCCUCGCGGAUGCUGA